GGAUCUUACGGGAGGCAGCAGUGGGGAAUAUUGGGCAAUGGGCGCAAGCCUGACCCAGCAACGCCGCGUGAAGGAAGAAGGCUUUCGGGUUGUAAACUUCUUUUCUUGGGGACGAAGAAAGUGACGGUACCCAAGGAAUAAGCCACGGCUAACUACGUGCCAGCAGCCGCGGUAAUACGUAGGUGGCAAGCGUUAUCCGGAUUUAUUGGGUGUAAAGGGCGUGUAGGCGGGAGCGCAAGUCAGAUGUGAAAACUCAGGGCUCAACCCUGAGCCUGCAUUUGAAACUGUGUUUCUUGAGUGCUGGG
rnacentral:rRNA from 1 species